GUUUGCCUCAGCAAGACAUAUACUAAAAUUGUAAUGAUACAGAGAAGAUUAGCAUGGCUCCUGCACAAGGAUAACACACAAUUUUGUGAAGUGUUCCAUAUUUUA
rfam:Erinaceus europaeus unplaced genomic scaffold scaffold00056, whole genome shotgun sequence